rnacentral:lncRNA from 1 species
AAUACGCCAUUUGAAGCAAUGGUUCUUAGAUUUUUUGAUAACACUGUAAACGAUCGGUGCAUCGUUUUUUCAGAUAACUGACAACAGAGUGAAUGAGUGAAUGAGUGAAGCAAUGGUUUGGCGGCGAGUAGCGAAUCUGUGGGUGGGUGGGUUAAACAUAUUCCUUCGUUCCAACAACAAACAACUAUACUAUUUAUUUAUUUAUUUAUUUAUUUAUUUAUUACGCCCAAUAAAAUAAUAAUAAUAAAAAUAAAUAAAUAGAACCUAAAACCCAUCACUCUCUCUCACUUCGUUUUUUCCGCUUCCAUCUCUAACCAACGCAACCACCACCGUCUUCUCCUCUGUAAGCUCUUCCAUUCUUCAUCACUUUUUCUUUAAUAUAGAUUUUACUAUUAUUAAUAUACUCUGCAAUUUAUCUCAACUAGUUAUGCUAUUACUAUACCCUUCAUCAAAUCAAACCUUCAUCAGGGUUUAUCUUUCUUCAUAAAUCUCAUCAUUUUCUACCAAAAACUAUCUUCAGUUAUUCAUUAUAUCCUUUAGGAAUCUAGGUGUUGUUAAUUAUUCUUGAAACAAACCAAGAAAUCUCUAUUUGAUGGGGUUUUGGGGUUUGAUUUGACAGCUCUAGGGUUUUGUCAUUUUGUGCUUAUGAUUUUGUUUUUUUUGUUAUUGUGCUUGGCUGGGAUUUUGAUCUCGUUGGAGAUUUUCCUGCAAAGACACAAUCUUUCAUUGUUUUGUUGAUUGGGCACAAAUCAUAUUUUGAAGGUGUUCCGGUGAGGUGAGUAUCCGGUGGUCCGUGUAUGACAUGUGUCGAUGUCAAUAUGUGUGGUUACUUCCGUUACUUUCAUUUUUAAAAAAAUUCUUAUUGGUGCUUUGUGUUUCAAUCGGUGUUUCGUAGGGGGAAAUUGAGUGGUGUUUUAGAGUAUGUCUUUAGGACUGGUUAUGAAAGAAUUUUUGUUUUAUGAACAGCAAUUGAUCGUUAGAAUAUUGACUUCGAGCAUAAAAUGAGGUCAUUUUGUUAGGUAUGAUGUUUUGAUUGUAAACUUGGAGCUUCGAGUGAAGAGCAGAGAGUUACAAUCUUGCUUCUUCUCAUACAGCUCCAUAAAACAAUAGCCGUUUAUCAAACAGGAAUGAAACCAAUUUCAUUCUUUUUGUAAAUUUUUAUGGCAUAAAUUCGUUUGACAUUAUCAACAACAUUGGUAUUAAAUCAGUUUACGCAGAUGAUAGUUGAAGGUUUUCGCUAGUAUUUUUUUCUUCACCAAAGUUUGAACUCUGGUCCUUUAAUCCUUUGCUCAAACCAGUUAAACUACCCAACCUAUGAAAUAAGCAAAGAUAAGUGUUAGAAACUAAGACCUGGCAAGCUAAACAAUAAAUGCUUGGACGCAAAGAUAAGCGUUAGAAUUUAAGGCCUGGCAAGCGAAACAAUAAAAGCUUAGACUUAACUGCUACUGUGGGAAUGGCCACGUUCUGCUUUUUUUCUUUCUUUCUUUCUUCCUUCAGAAUUGGUAAUCUAAGGGUGUAAAUCUAUUAACACUUCUCGCACUCUUCAAUAAUUGUGUCUUGUAUAAUAAAAUAAACCACUUUAUUUUGUUAAAUAUAAAUUCUAUUAUAUUGAUUUAUUUUCAGGGCAACAAUGGCAUCCAUCUCAGCUGUGAAUAUUUCCCCACUAUGCAUGUUUCAACCCGCAAACCGCAUUCAAUCAACCAGCACUACCUUAGUGAAGUGCCCUUCCGCUUUUGGCUCUAUGAGAAGUGUUUCCAGAUCUUUUGGCUUGAAGUCAUCCUCUUCAUAUAGAACAACUGCCAUGGCUGCUUACAAGAUUAAGCUAAUUAGACCAGAUGGAGAAGAGGACGAGUUUGAAGCCGCUGAUGAUGUCUACAUCUUAGAUGCAGCAGAGAAUGCCGGAGUCGAACUCCCUUACUCGUGCCGUGCUGGAGCAUGCUCUACUUGUGCUGGAAAGGUUGUUUCUGGCUCAGUGGAUCAAUCUGAUGGCUCAUUCUUGGAUGAUACUCAACUUAAGGAAGGCUUUGUGCUUACCUGUGUUUCCUAUCCCACAGCAGACUGUGUUAUCCAAACUCAUAAGGAAGGUGAUCUCUACUGAGAAAUUGUGGCUUGAAAGUUAAAACCAUUGCUCGAGGAAACUGAGAAUUUAAGGUAGAUUUUAUGGCGGAUUUUGCUUUAGAAUCUAUCUUUCUUUUAGCAUUAUUAAUAGUGAUAUGGGAUAAUGGAUAUUUGAUUGUGUGCAAGCACUAGUUUUUAGAAGAUGGUAAGUUUGACAUUUAAAUGUGAUCAAGGGUGUUAUUUUAGUUAUGAAGAACAUAAUGAAGUAUUUGGAGGAAGAAACAACCUUUCAUAAUUGGUAGAGAAAUUUCACUUUCUUGUUAAAAUAAACAAAAUCUAUCUUGUUAUAUCAAUUGUCAAUAGCUGCUAUUUUAACUUACCUCAACUUAUUUCAUUAAUUGAAAGAUGUGGCAAUUUUCAACUAGGGAAUAAGUUGUUAUAGUUUAUUUUUUCAGUUGGUUUAAAUUAAGUUAAAUAUAUAAAUAACCUGCAUAACUCAAUUUAAAUAGUAACUAUUUUUUGAUACGAUUAACAGUGAAAAAGCUAGCAAAUUUGAAGAUUUGAUAUUAUUGUCCUUUGCAAUGUUUACCGUGUGAUUAAAAAUUCAAAUCAAAUUGAAUCAAAUAUAUGGAUUAGUUUGAUUUUUAAAAUCAUUUUGAUAAGAUUGAUUUAUUUUUUUUAUGUUUGGAUCGGUUUGGUUAAUAACCGGUUUUAAAUAGAUUUUGAUUUUAAUCAAAAUUAUUUAAUUUAAUUUAAAUUUUAUUUUCUUUAAAUUAAUAUUAAUUUUUAAAAUUUAAAAAUAUAAAUAAAUUUUAUGAGAUUUUAAAAUAUUAUUUCUUUUAAAAUUUAAAAAACAUAAAAAAACAAAUUUUUUAGAAAAGAAAAUUGAAAAUAAUAAAAUUAUUUUCUGAAAGUUAUUCCAGAAAUAAUAAAAUAAUUUAAAAUCGAAAAUUAUCUUUAAAAAGAAGUUAUUCCAAAAAAUAAAAAUAACUGAAAAAAAUUUAUUUAAAGAAAAAUAGAAAUGGGAAAUAAAAAAAUUCUGAAAAUAAAAAAUAAUUUUUAUUCUGAAAUUAUAAAAAGUUUUAAAAAAAAUUGAAACUAAAAGUUUUUUUAUUCUGAAAAUUUGAAAAAUUAACCUUUUUGAAAAUUAAAAAAAAUAUCAAAACAAUUUAUUUAAAAAGAAUCUAAUUUUUUUUACUGAAAAAAAUAUAAAAUAUUUUUUAUUUAGAAAAAAAUAAUAAUUUUAUUUGAAAAAACAUAUCAAAUAUAAUUUUUUUCAAAAAAAUUCUGAAUAUAAUAUUUUUCGUGAAAAAUAUUUUUAAAAUAAUAAAAUUUAAAAGUAUUUAAAAUAUAAAAUUAAUUUUAAUGUGAUAAAAUAUGAAAAGAGAUAAAAAUAAAAAUUUAAGUAAAAUUUGGAUAUCCAAUAACAAAAUUAAAUUUUUAUAAUGGAUAACGGUAUCCAAAUUUUUAUUUUAAUAUUUGAUUUGAUUUUUUAAAAGUGGAAUAAUUUGGAUACUAAUUUGAUUAUGAAUAAUCGAUUUUUUGCACACCUUAUAUAUUAUAGUCAUUUUUCUUGCUAACUAAAUAUUUAUUUUCACAGCUUAUAAGAUAUUUUGCCAUGUCAGCAUCUUUGUAAUAAAUUAUACGAAUUAAUAAAAAGGCAUAAAAAUAAUGAUUUCGAACCACAGGUCAAAUUUAAGAAUCUAUUACUAGUAAAAUAAGUGUUAACAUCUUAUACCGUCCACUUGAAAUAAUUGAUUUAUAAUUAGUUUUAUAAAAAUAAAAUAUUUAAACACUAAUAUAUUUUACUCCAAAAAAUAUAAUAACAUAUAUAACAAAUUAUUUAUACAAUAGCAACUAAGUUUUAUUCCACUAAUGUGGUCUUAUCUUUUGGACUAUAGUUUUUUUUUUAAGUCUUUCUCUGUAUCCAAGUGUUUGAUUCAAGUACAUUUAACAUAUCUUCUUUAGAAAAUUGCGUAAGACACCGUAAAGAUGGUUACUAUACUUUUGUGAAAAAAUAAAAAUAUUUUUAAGAUUCAGAGAUGUAUUUUUAGACGUUCCCAAAUAUAUUUGUUCCUCAGUCUGAUCUUAAGACUAUGUAAAAAAAUUACGGAAAUUAAUCUUCCUAUAAAUUAUGGAGAUGCUUCUCUUAACACUAUUUUAAUAAAAAAUACGUCAGAUUCUUUCUCCUUCCUCGCUUCUUAAAAUACUCUCUCAACUCCUAUUCUCUCAUAGUCAUUCAACUCACUUUAAAUUUUCUUUCAUCAACAUCAAAUCGAUCAAAGAGCUUACUCAACAUCAAACUAAACUCACAAUUGAUAAGUUUAUAAUUUUUCUAUUUUUUUAUUUCUAUAUACAUUUGUAGGAGUUGAACAUUAAGUUAUGUAAUAUGUAAUUUAGAUAUGUUAGUGAAAUGAAUAAUGUGUUUAAUAGAUAGUUUAAAUGAUCAAUGCAUUAUUUUGGAUGUUGGUAUAAACUGCAUUUCCGCCAUUAACUUAUGGAGAUGCAUCUCUAGAUUUUUUCAAUGUUUUGAUUUCUAGAAUCUAGAGAUGUAUCUGCCGAAACUUUUUCAGUUUGCUUUGUUUGGCUGAUCUCAUUGUGUUUCAUAUGUAUAAUGCUUGUGUGAUUUACUUACAGACAAUAUGGUUGAUAACCUAGAUAGAUUGAGGCAUAACAGAGUUGCACAUCAUGCAUAGAGGGAAAAAGCUUGAUCAUCGCAUGCACCUGUUAUUUUUAGCCCGAUUGAUGCGAGGGCGUCAACUUCUGAGGCUCAUGCAUUUCUACCUUACAUGUGUCACCUACUCAGACACCUGAGGCACUGGAGGCACCUGAGGCACACGAGGGAUUUGGAGGAGGUCCGUCAGACUUAUUACUCCCGCGUCUAUACCCGAACCAUGAUGCCAGACAUGUCUAGGACGAAAAGGUAAAAUUAAGUUGUAUUCCUUCUUUGAAAUAUCAUUUUUAUAAUAUUCGAAGUUUUCGACGAUGAGUUAUUUUCCUGCAGGACCAUGAUGCUUUAAAAUUUAAAUGAUAGAGGGGAAGAAUCAAGCCGCCAAACCUUGGGGCUUUGAUUCUCCAAUGCAAGAGCUACAUUAUGGUAUCAAGAUUCAAGCAAACUGAGGCGAAAGAAAAUUCACCGACAUGCAAGAUAGAGGUUUGUCUUGGAAAUUGUUGAAAUCUAAAGGUGCUGAAGAUGAAGAAAACCAGAGGUAUGCUACUUUGAACCUUCAAUCUUCUGCUUCUGCAAUGAACUUCUUCCUCCUCAAGAAUUAAUUACGUAAAAUUAUGAACUAGAUUAUUGUUGCUAUUGUUGAUUGUAUGAGUAUAACAAUAGUAUGGAGUGUAGAAGGUUUAGCUCAAAUGGUGACAAACUUCAAUGUGAAGCUUGCUCCAAUGGUGGUAGAGCUUUGGUGAGGCGAGGGAGAUAAAUUGAGAGAGACAAUUUUGAAUUUAUAGUGGAAUGUUUAGAGAAUGAAUGAUUAUGGUGAUUGUUGUUAUCGAUGUUAUUGGUUGAAGAGUGUGGUGAGUUUAUAUAGAUGAAUUUCCCAACUGUUUCGGGCAUCUCUGUUAGAGGUUAGGGCAAUAGUUAAUGUUAAUGGAUUCCAAGAGUAAGUUGGUUAUGAAAUUAACAGAGUUAGAGUUUCUGUUAGAUUGAAUUUGACAGUUGGAAUGGUCAAUGGAGUGGAAUUUAGGGACUGUUAUGACAUGUUGGUGAGGUUAGGAUUGAAGUGAAUUAGUGUAGUUCAAGUGUUGGUGAAUGUUUGUGAUGUUGUUGUAAUGCUUAGUUCAAAGAUAGGAAACCGCUAGUGUUGAUGCAUCAUGUUCAUGUGUUGUUAUGUGAACAUGUUGUAGGAAUUGGACUUGUUUUUUAGGGUUUGAAAUGGGACUGUGAUGCUGAAAUUAAGCUGAAAAUUGAAAAAUUAGCAGGUGUAACCGGUUACCAGGUUUUGUGUAAUCGGUUACUAGAAUGAAAAAAGGUGUUUUGGGCUGCUGAAUAAGUUGAUGAAACACAUGUGUAACCGGUUACCAGGUUUUGUGUAACCGGUUACCAUAAUGCAAACAUGCCUCUGGGUGUUGGAAAAAUACAGGUGUAGCCGGUUACUAAAAUGAAAACUUGGCUUUCUGGUGAGCUGAAGUAGGUGUAACCAAUUACCAGGUUACCAACUCAAAAAUUGACCCUUUUUAGUGUUUUGGUGCAUUGGCUCAUGUGUGAAGCAUAAGGUCUUGGCCUUUUUCUCAUUGUGCAUGUUAUUUUGCAGGGUUGGUCGUGAAGCAUUAUCUAUGAAGGUUCAGCAAGACGUGUGGAUUUGACAAGAAGAUAGACCAUGGCUUAUGAUGGGUUGACCUUGGUAAACUAUUUGACCAAAAAGUCAACAAUUGACCAAAGGUCAAUUGUAAGUCAAAAAGAUGAAAUUUUGUAUGCAAAUUUGUAAUUUGGAUCCUUUGUAAUGAAAUAGAUUUUGAAAUGAAAGGUGUAUGUAAAUUUUGUUUCAAGAAAGCAAGGCUCCCUUCCAAAUUUACAUCUCUGAAUAUUUGAAUUUGCCUUGAAUAUGACUUUGAAUGAACCUAGAAUUUGAAUUUCUUGAUCACUUGAAUGAAGUGAUAUGCCAUGGAUCAAACAAAUCAAAGCCCAAGAUAAUCACUAUCUUCCAUAUACUAUGUCAUGAUGUAAUCAACACAACCACAAGCAUAUACCGAAGAUUAGAGUUCCACAAACUUGAUUCACAAGAAAUGAACCAACCAUCACUGUUGUGCCAACAUCACUUUUGUAUCAUAAUUAGCAACACUCUUGAAUCAAUGAUGUUUAUAUGAAGAAUGAAAUUGUAAAUGAAUGCAUAUGGCAUGGACAUGCAAAUGAACUGAGGGUUAAAAGUCAGAUGAAAAAUGAAAAAGGGAAGGCAAAUUUUGGGGUAUGAUAGCUGCCCCUAUUUAAUCUUCUUCGACCUGUAUGUACAAAUGGUGAUGACCGUUCGGGAACUUAAGGUAGAAGAGGAUUAAGGGCCCGUUUGUUUUGGCUUUUUUUUUAAAAUGAUUUUUAUAGUGUUACAUAUUUUAGUGUAAAAAAAUUUACAAAGAAACUUUUCAUAAAAGUUUCAAAUGAAAAUUUGGUUUGAAUAGUUAUUCUUAAAAUAUUAUUUUAGAUAUUUUAUCAUUUUAUCGAAACUUUUUUUGGAUAUCAAAAUUUCAAAAAAUCACUUAAUUUUGAAGCUAUUUCAAUUAGCUUUUCAUAAAAAUCAUUUUUAAGAUACACUUUUUUGAAAAAAUUGUGAUUUUGACUAUGUUUUGAUAUUCAAUAAUAUAUAUUUAUGUUAUAGAAUGAACAAUUCAAUCUUUUAAUUUAUAAAAAACAAAUUUAAAAAAACUUAUAAUAUUUUAAAAGAAAUUUUUGUAGAAUCCAUUUUCAAAAUUACAAAGAAAAAAUCCAUUUUUUAAAAGUUAAAACAAAUUGGCCCUAUAUACAAGAAUAUCCAAAAAUUUGUCUGUUGAGGAUGAAGUGAAUGGGGUGUGAGGAAGGUAAGUGUAUUGGGUAUUUGUUUAUGACAGGUAAACUUUUGUGAUGUCAUCUGAUGGGGAUUGAAUGAAAUAUUAUGUUAGGGAAAUAACUUAGUCGCAAGGGAAAUGUUUGAUAUGCAUGAUAUAUGCAAAGUAUGAUUUUUUUUUUAUGAUGCAUGAAUAUGGAAAAGUUUGUAUAUAUGAUGUGUGUGCAAAGAAGCAAAAUCCUAGAAGAGGAAAUUACAAAAAAUGAAAAAUAAAAGUAAAUGGAAAUGGGAAAUUUAUAUGAAUUUCCAUUGGUUUCAACAUAGGCUAUCACCCCUCUAAGAUAUGGGUCUCAACACUUUGCUUCGGUUGACGAUGAUUGGGUCGAUUUGUUGUCGUCUGAGAUCUAGUUGUGAUGAAGUAGGCUCAAGGUUGCAGCCAAAUGCCUUUCUCCCUAACUUUUUCCUGAACAUUUUACUCUUUUUUUUGUCCACCGGGAUACCCAUUUUUUCCCUUUCGUAAGGAGCAUUAUGGAACAACAAGACAACCUAAGUGCAUCGUCGUCCUCUCACGGGGUUCCCAUCCAACCAUGACGGGUGGGGGAUCUUCCUCAUAGCAUGGUGAUUCUCAAGGUCCCAUCCAUCAACCAGGGAACUAAGAACCCUUUUAGAUAUCUUUCGGUGGCCGUCUAGAGGCAGUCAAAGGUUAUUCUUAAUAGAAUGAUUGUUUGAUAUGGGUCGAAUAUGAGUCAAUAUCCAACGACAUCCACUAAGCCUUAAGGGACAAAUACAAUCCCACCAAACCCAUAUAUUCUUCCAAUAGAAGGCGUUCACUCCAUAGGCCCCAUAAACAUUAGGAUCGUCAUUAAGGAUGAUACGGAGGAUCAUGGCUCAAGAGACGAUUCAUUGUUCUAACAAAAAAACAACUAAUCCCUACGAUCAUGUGGAUACUGUGUCGAUAUCAUCCUCACAAUUUGAAAUCCGAAGGGACCUGUCAAAUGCAAGAUUUUCAUUUGUACUGUAGAAGUAUUCCUUAAAACUUUUAGGUGAUGAAGAGAAAAAAACCAAAAAUCAGAAAGCCAAAAAGCACUCUGGUUUGGGCAGUUUGCGGGUAUCAGGUUUGGUCAGUUCAGUUCAUAGAUUCAUUCAUCAAUGUUAGGAUAUUCUAUCUUAAUUUAGAGAUACUCUAAGAUACUCUAAAUUAAUAUAACAUAUAUUAUACAAUAUUUAUAAUAUUUAAAUUAAUAUAAAAGAUAUUAUAAUAUAUCUAUAAUAUUGUUAUUCUAAUAGUUAUUGGGUUAUGUUUUUGGCCCAUUAAAGAUCUGUUGGGUUUGAGCAGAUAUAAAUAUGUAUCUUUAUCACUCUUAUCUUCAUAACCUUCAAAACUUUAUUAGCUGAAGACAUAGAAAAGAAUUUGAGAAUCCUAGUGGUAAACUUAGAAAAUGCAAGGGUUAAAAUUUCUUGGAGUUCUUUGAAUUUGGAAAGCCUUUGGAGGUAUUUAAGGGAUCUGGGAAAUACUUCUAAACACCUUGGGCUUGUGUGAUAAUAUAUUGAGAGUUGGAGAGAAUAGGAAACACUUGGAUAGAAAUAAGGUUUUGUUUGUGGUAACUCAAAAGGCUUUUUCUUGUAUCUCAUUUGUAAUCUCUUGUAACAACUUUUGGAAGUAUACUGAAUCAUAGAGCUUAUCUAUCCCUCAAAGUAGAUCGUUUGAUCAAAUUGGGUAAACAAAUUAUUAUGUUCUUGUCUUUUAUCUUCUUCUGGCUUGCAGUCGUUUUGGUUCCACUUUUGGCCGGUCAUUGUGUUUCUCUAGGCCAUUUAUUUUGGUUGUCAUCGUUUUUUGUCUCCACAUAUCGAAUUUCUAGGCGUGUUUAAACUCUGAGUAAUUCUUCUUAAUUGUUUUAAGUUAUUAUACUAGUUUUUCACAACAAGUGGUGCCCACCGUGGAUCAAGGGGGGAGUGGGGCAUUGUUUACAAGUGUACACCAUGGGUAAAUAAGAGAUAGAUAAAUUUUCUACAAAUAACGAUUUUGGGUUGUGAAAACUGAAGAUGCAAGCAAUAUUAACUAAAGAUAAGUUUAUUUAAGCAUUGAAGCGCGAGGAAUGGAUGCCUCCACACCUAACACAAAUAGAGAAGACCAAGAUGGUAGAUAAGGCCAGAAGUGCCAUUAUCUUGUGCCUCAGGGAUAAAGUUCUAAGAGAAAUCUCCAGAGAGAAAGAUGCAGUUUCAAUGUGGGCACAACUUGAAUAAUUGCAUAUGACCAAGUCUUUGGCUCACAGGUUGUGUCUGAAACAACAACUCAACUCAUUUCAAAUGGUAGAGGACAAAUAGUGGAGCAGUUGACAUAAUUUCAUAAGAUUAUUGAAGAUGAGGACAAAGCUCUACUCCUGUUGAUCUCAUUACCCAUAUCAUUUGAUCACUUUAAGGAUGCCUUUAUUUAUGGUAAGGAGGGUAUUAUGACUUUGGAUAAAGUUCAAACAAAUGUGAGGUCUAAAUAAUUUUCAAAGGUGAAAUAUUUGAAGAUUGAUGAUAGCGAUGAAUAAUUGAGUGUAUAAAGAGGAUGAAGAGAGGGUAGAGGGAUGUCUAAAUCAAAUAGGUUUGACAAGUAAAAUUAAAAUGUUUUACUUGUCAGAAACCAAGCCACUUCAUGAGGGAAUGUUCUGAGAGUAUGGGCAAUGAUGGUUCUAUUUAUAAUGAAGUUUCCUCAGAUCAGGAUAGUUAUGAGAGUGUUGGUGCAUUAUUGGUGUCGAGUUUGGAGGCCGAAGAGAGUUGAGUAAUGAACUCAAAUUUCUCUGAUCACAUGUGUCCAAUAAAAUAAUAUUUUUAGACUUUGAAGCUAAAGCAAGAUGGAGUAGUUAUCCUUUGUAAUAAUAAGACUUGUAAUGUUUAUGGUAAUUGUAUAGCCAGACUUUAAAUGUUCAAUGAUCGUGAGUUUUUUCUUAACAACGUGGGGUAUAUUCCAUAACUCAGGAAAAAUUUGUUAUCCAUAAGCAUAUUUGAUGAUCUAGGAUAUUGCACUAGAGUUGAACCUGGGGUGUUGAAGAUUUCUCAUGGUGAAGUGAUCAUAGUUAAAUGAUCUAAAAUAUGUUGUUUAUAUAUUUUAUUUGGUUCUAAUGUUGUUGUUCAGUCAUCAUCAACUAGUAAAGACUUUCGUGAUAAGAACAAGCUAUGGGAUUUGAGAUUAAGACAUGGUAGAUACCUGGAGGUUGUUUCAGAGCACUUUAAUGAGUUUUGCAUAAAACAAUGAUAAAUAUGCAUUUGGACACUAAGUUGUCAUUGAGUUUUUGGGGUAAGGAUGGUGCCAAAAUAACUUACUUGGCCAAUAUGUGUUCAUUUAUAUGAAUAUAAUUCCAAACACUUAUGGUGGUUUGUAGUAGGAAAUCUGAAAACUACUCUUAUUUGAAGGUUGCCAAAACUUUGUUUAUUGAUCAAAUCAAGCCUGAUCGCCUUGAUGGUAAAGUUGUAGAUUGUUUCUUCAAUGACUAUCCAAAAGGAAGGAAGGUUUAUGAAUUUUUGGAUGUAUAACUUAGAGGAUUGAAUUUCAUCAAUCACAAAUGUAUUACUUUUAGUGACUCCUGUCAGGAGAAGAAGAGUAAAAGCCUUAGGAUGAAGACUUUAGAAACUAUGGUGGAGAAAACUCAGUUUGAGGUGGAGUUCCUACUAUGGAUACUAGUAAUAAUGAGGAAACAAUUACAAAAGCCUUUGGUUAUCAUUUGACUCGUGAUAAAAUAAAGAAGGAGAUUGUACCAUCUUAAAGGAAGGAUUAUGCUGGCCUUGGGUGUUAUGCUUUGAAUGUGGCCGAAGGGUUGCCAAACUCAAAAACAGAAACCUUCACCGUGGCAUUCAAAAAUAGGUGAAGUCAAAGAUAAUUGAAGAACCAUGCUUGUGAGCUUGUUAGACUACUAACACAAAAAAAGGUGAUUGGAAGAAAGUUGAUGCACUUGGAGAGGUCAAGGUUCAAGGAUGCCUUGAACUUGAUCAAGGUUGUUAAAUAAUGUUUCAACAUGGUAUAGUGCAUCAAGGUGGUUGAUGGAUAAAUUGACUUCAUUACAGUUUCAAGUCAAGGAGGAGAUUGUAGAAGUAUGUCUUAAAACCUUUGAGUGAUGAAGAGAAAUAAAACAUGUUUCGAGAUUGCCAUAAAUUAAAAAGUUAAAAAGCAAUAUGAUCUAGGUGGUUCGUGGGUAUCGAGUUUGGUUAGUUCGAUUCAUGGAUCUGUUAAUUAAUGUUGAUUUAGAGAAACUCUAAGAUACUCUAAAUUAAUAUAAAAUAUAUUAGAGGAUAUUUAUAAUAUUUUAAAUUAAUAUAAAACAUAUUCUAAAAUAUUUAUAAUAUAUUUUUAAUAUAACACCCUAAACCUCAAAAUUUAUAUAAAAAUGUUUAAUCGACAAUUUAAGGUGUCACCAACGAUCAACACCAAAAACUCAUCAAAAACAUGUGACAAAACGCAUAGGAAUUCAUAUCAUAACAACUUCAUUUUAAACUUCGUAAAUAAAGUAUUGGACUUUAAAGCACAUAAUUCAACAUUAACUCAAAGCAUAACAAAAAAACACCAUGUUGCCGAUGUUACAAGAUCAGAGAACUAAAACCACUAAAUUGCGAUAAAGCGUCAAAUAAAAUGAAGAAUAACUCCAACAAGCCACCUUCCACACACAACAACAACUUUAUUCCUGAUUAUUUGCAAGAUGUCCACGGCGGACAACAUUAAGCAAAAGGUGUGAGAAAUAAACUUCGAUAUAAAUGGUGUAAAUAUGCAAAGGUAGAGAAACACACAAUAUAUCAUACAUUCAAUGCACAAUCAACAUCACCAUAAUCUCACACCUGUUCAUAAUAAUAUUCAAAUAUAUGUAAUGCGACUCGUGAUACUAUGCAUAUGGUACCAACUCAACAUUUGGUUUUCUCAUGAAUCAGGUUCCCCCUUCUGAACCCAUGAGCCCCUCCUUAUGAGCUUAGGAAAAAACCCUAGUCCCUCCUUCUGAAUUAGCGAACGUGCCUCUUUCAACAACACGACACAAUGAUGCAUGUCCAUACAAAUCAAUACAACAACAAUAAUAAUGCUUACGGUCCCUAUUCUAACCAUAAAUAACAUGCAUUGACACACAAUAGUAAGUCCCUCUUAUGAAUUACUAUCAUCCAAUAAUAACAAUAAUACUCACCAUCAAUACAUAAUUAAUCACCAUAUAAUCAUGCAUUUCAUAACAAUACGAGUCAUAUUCACAUCAUACAACAUCACCAAACAACAGAGCCACAUCGAAUACACAUCCACACAACACUCAAUCAUGUUAAAUCAUCUUCACAUUAAUUCAUCAUUAAUUCAUUCAUUUGCAUAAAUUAAUCAUUUGUUCGUUAUUGUUAACUAUUGUGUGACAAGUGAAACUAUUAAAUUUUCACAAUUUCCAGCAUCCAUAUAGCCUCUUAAUACAUCACUAUUGGAUAGCCAUAUGUGUUAUAUUUCCAAUGCUUUAAACUGCACCUCAUUUGGAUUUAUGGAACUAAAAUUAUGGAAAAAGAAAUUAGAUAACAUAAUAGGAUUCAACUCAAUAAUUUUUCAAAAUUCAACUAGCAUCAAUCAAUUGACAUAUGGGGACAAUCGUUUGACAUUAAUCCCCAUUACAUUCUACCUUUUCCAAUUUUUCACAUUUUGGCUGAGAAUAAUCGAUUGACUUAGGAAAUUAAUCGAUUGACAUAGUUUAAUUUUUUAUAGAUAUUUCUAAUUUUUCACGUGUGCAAUCGAUUGACACGGGAUGUCAAUCGAUUGACAUCACCCCAAAUUCUAAAAAUCUCAGUUUUUCACACGUUAACUUCAUCUUCCCCAUUCCCUAUCCCUCAUACACCAAAUCAUUUCUCAUUAUAAAUAUUCAAACACAUCAUAUCAUGAAUUUUACAGCAUAUAACAAUCUCAUCACAAUUAAACAUGUUAUAGCAUACAAAUUAAGUCAUGAUUCAUAACAAUUGUACACAUAAUUUAUUAAUCACUUUCAUCAAAAUCAUGUUUAUGUUCAAAUUUUCAAAAUUCUAACAAUAAUAUAAAAUCACACACACAUAAACAAAAUAGUAGACACACGAGUUUAGUCAUGAAAACUAGAUAAUCAGGCCUUCAAUAAUCAAUUUUCAGAUCAACACAUAACAACAACGAUUAAUUAAAGAUUGUACGAAAUCCCUAAAGAGAGUAAGGGUCAAUCUUCCUUAUCUUUUAUGUCAAACGCCUAUAUAGAACCUCUUUCUAUCCCCUUACCUCAUAUUUCCAGCAAAAUUUUAAAUUAGAUUGAUGGUUUGUUCCUCCGUAUUCAAGCCAUAACCUCCCUUUUUCUUCCAAAAACUCUAUUUCAUGUAUUGACUCCUCAAAAGUCUCAUUAACCCCUUUUCAUCUCUAAAAACCUAAUUUCAUCUCUUAAUAAUUACAUUAAGGUCCAACUCUACUUAUUUUUCUCACCAUUUCCCUUUUUUUUUUCUAAAUUUUUACUUAAGACAUUUUUUCUUAUUUAUUUUAAUCAAUUAAUCAAAAAGAAUCAUAAAUUCUAAUUAUUUCCAAUUAAUUUAAUUAUUCUAUCCAUCAAAGAGUUCUCACAACACUCCACCAUACACCACAUACACAUACAGAGUGAAUGAGUGAAUGAGUGAAUGAGUGUUUGUUUCGGUGUGCGUGAGCCGAACUACGGUAGCUCUGAUUCUCGUUCCAGACGAGAUACGUAGGCAUAGGAUGCGAUAUCCUAGCGAGCCCUCUCCCCUCUUAUCCCACCUGUGUUGUUUCAGUGUGUGUGUGUGAUGUUUGUGAGCAGUGUAGCAACCUUAUCCUAUCUUUUAGAGCGUGGAUCCCGUCGAGUACGACGGAUGCGUAGGGGUGCUAAUACCUUCCCUACGCAUAACCGACUCCCGAUCCCAUUCUCUUGGUCCUGCGAGACCAUGUUCUUUCCAGGUUUACUUCGAGCGUUUCCUUUCCUCUUUUAGGAUAAAUAACGCACGGUGCGGCUCUGUGUUGUUUGUUUAGCCGCCGGUUAUUUUUCGCGGAUGCGACACUAGGUAGAAUAGGUAGAAUGAAACUCUUAACUUAGAAUAAUUACAUGUUUUAUAUAUAAAAUAAAUACAUUCAAAUGAGUCAAUGUAUUUCUUUGAUGAUAUGACAUUUUGUCAUGUAUUUGUAGUUUUAUAAAUCUCAGAGUGCAUUGAUAAAUGGAUGUAUGAAGAAUUAAUACAAAUCUUUAUAGGUAAAAUAAAACUAUAUUACACUACUUACUACUAAUUUUACUAUCUUUUUAUCUAAAAAAAUUCUAAUUUGAGAGUCUUACAUUUUUUCUUUACCCUGGAGAAACAAUUGCAGGGAAAAAGAAAAUACUUCGUAUAAAGAUUUCAUGUUCGACAUUCCUCUUAAUAGUACUUUGUAUGCUUUAAUAUAAUUUUGAAUAUCUUUGUUUAUCAUUUUCAAAGUGUAAUAAUAUUUUUUUUAAUGCUACAUACAAUAGAAAUCUCAUAAAAAGAAAAAUUUACAUUUAAUUUUCUUUGAUGUGUGCAUUAAAAAAAGCGGGCAGACGAGAGAGAUAGAGAAAGAGAGUAAAGGGAAUAUUGAUAUAACAUGAUAUUUAUUCAUAGGGGAUUUUGGUAAACAAUACGAAAGUGGUUUUUCCAUAAAAGAAAGAUGAAUAUAGGGAAUUUUGGUAAGCAAUACGAAAGUGGUUUUUCCAUAAAAGAAAGAUGAAUAUUUAUGAUUAUUACCGUUGCAUUCGAUCAUGAUUUUGGUAAAAAAUACGGGCAUCAUUACAAACAGACAUUUCCAAGGGAUCAUAUAUAUAUUUAGGAUGGAAGACUUAAUUUAGAACUCUUACUAUUUUUAAAGUAUAAUAAUAUUAUUUUUAAUAUGACGUACAAUAGAAAUCUCAUAAAAUAAACAGACAUUAAUUUUUCUCCGCUGUGCGCAUUAAAAAAAAGUGGACAGACGAGCACGGGAGUGCCCGUCUGAACGCUAGUGUGUUAUAAAAUUAAUUAGAAACAAUAUUAUCUAUAUGUGUAAUUUAUACUAAAAUAUGGAUUCUAAUUAUAAAUAAAUGGGAUAAUAAUAUGAUAAAAUUAAUCAAUUUUUAUUAGCGGUUAAGAAAACUAAUUAUUAUUUAAUAGUGAGAGCUUAUUGGGAGAUGAUUUAUUUAGGAUUCACAAUGUAUAAUAAUGUAUUAUUUAUAACACUUUCUUUUAAAUAUUUAUAGAAUCUAUGUCUCGUUAUAAUUUUAUUAAAAAAAAUUUAGUGAAAAAAUAUAAUUAAAAAAAACUACAAUAUUCUUCUGUAAUAAUUAAUUUAAGAUAUAUUUAUUUAUCCUCCUCAACUAAACGAUCUUCUCUUCGAUAAUGAAUGUCAAUCUUGUGUAUUAGUUGGUUAAAAGUNCCUCCUCAACUAAACGAUCUUCUCUUCGAUAAUGAAUGUCAAUCUUGUGUAUUAGUUGGUUAAAAGUUCUAUUUAGAAGUGAGUUCAUAUAGUGUUAAAACUUUUACAUGAUUUGACGAAGUUUUUGUUGUGGGUUUUUUCACAUAUCUCCAUGAAAUGGUUCUGACACCACAAAUAAACAAGUAAUAUGUUUGUGAUCUGGCAUUACAAGGAUCUGACAAGAAGCAUGCAUCUCUAAGGUAACAAAGUAUAUGUUUGACUCUAUUCUUGUUUCGUAUUGGAUCCAAAAAUGGAGUGGAGAUCGAAAGUGAUGGUGAUUUUGAGCUUCCGACACAGUGGAGAAGGGGUUGACCUACAAGGUUAGCACUUUAACACUCAAGUCAAUAUGUGAGGGAGAAUAGUGAAUUAAAAUUGAACUUGGCGCCUUCUCUAGAUAUAGCAGAGAGUAACAAACUCGCUAUUUGUUAAGAAUAAAAUAUGGAGAGUCGUUGGAUGUGAAUGCAGUGGAAAUCCUUUGUGAUUAUCAAGAGGAGAGUCCUUGUGUGCUGAGGAGAGUCGUUGGAUGUGAAUGCAGUGGAAAUCCUUUGUGAUUAUCAAGAGGAGAGUCCUUGUGUGCUGAAAAUAUUAUGGAAGGAUUGCAAUUCCUUCAGGGUGGUCGAUCGAGGUCAAUAUGAUCGGCCCAAAACAGUUUCCCCUUAAGCAUCUGUCUAUGCAUAGCAAGGCAAGGGUUUCUUACUUCAGCCUCAGCUAUCGACCACCCUUGCAUCUACGCUAGGAAGAGUAAAAGGAAAUGUUCUCAUUUCUUGGGGAUUCACGCAUUUAAUGCGCCAUAUUUCAAACUUCUCUUCGUAAGUGUUAUCAUUACGAAUCAUAGGGACUGAAAUACUCAAGUAUUACGUGCGAGUGAUUUGGUGCAUUUGAAAUGGUAUUGCUUAUUUUUGCAAGCUAGAGUAUAUUCUUGAAGAGUCAGUGUCACUUUUCUUUGCGUCAUUUUCUCAAUUUAACUGUUAUCUUCUUCUUUGACAUUUCACUUUUCUGCAUCAGAAAAGUUAAUGCAUUAUGAAUAAAAAAAAUCACAGAAAUGUGCAAAAAAAUCCUAGAAGAUUGUUAUAUCUUCUUGGGUGGACCUUGUCUACUCUUCUAUCGUUUUUGUCUUUGCCAAAGAUAGGAAUCUUGAUGGAGAUUUUCUUGAAGUUGGUCCAUCUUCGCAUUGGGGUGUAUUAACCCCCCAAACAAUGAUGAAAUGAUAUGUAGUGAGUAUGGAGAUUGUGUCGUUCCAUUUUAUGAAUACAUUUUCUCCAUUUACCUAGAGGUAGAAUGAAAGUGGUGAAAACUCUAUUCUAAAGAAUUCCACCUGAUGGCUCAUUCACAACUUCACCCAGGAAGCUAGGCAUAUGUGAAAUUAUACCAAUAUUGGUGUGAAUACUUACAGGGAAAGCCUUUUGUGACCCUUUUUUUUCUUCUCUUUCAAUGUCAUUAUGGUACUACGACCCAAUCAUAAAGUAAAGGGUUAAUUUCUCUGACGUCAAAUGUUCGAGACUUUGGGGUUCUUCCUGAGUUGCAACCUUUCUAGUAUCAUUUCUUUUUUGUUACCCCUAGCAACCUAUACACCCACACUUUGGUAUAUGUCGUUAUGACCAGGUGGAAGAUAGAUGCACUGAGUUGUUCCCUAAGUAUUGGACGGAAACCUGCUUACUUAUGGGAAAUGGGGUAUAUGUUUAUAAAGAGGGGGACCUUACUAUUGGAUAUAUGUAUUAGAAGAAAUGGGUGAUAAGAUUCAUCGGCGACUUGGGUUACCUUGGUGGCGGCAUACCCUCGGACGACGCUGAUCGAAGACGCUUGUAGUGUCUGUAACUACAAGUUGACGACUACCUCCGGGCAAGAGCCCUUCUUUCAAUAGUUAUUUUUGGUAAGCUUUGGAAACUCUUGGCUUCUUUGUUUGUAGUUUUUCUUACUCUUUAAGUGUUUGCUUAAUCAUGGUUGUGUGCAGAUUUAAUGAAGGAUGAAGUACAAAUUUGGCUUAUAAGGCGGGGAAUAUGGUCGACAGGGAGUGACACCGCUUUUAAUACUCUUCUGAGGUUACAAAGUGUGUCGGGUCUUCCAUCCUGUUCAUUGACAACGGGGUUGGGCUCACGUUCCUCUAAAAACUGCCAGACUCCUUCUUCAAAAGAGGAUCAUCACAUUUGGCCAAUUUGUCUAGGCCUGCUUUGGAGGAAGAAUUGGUGACUCUGCCUCGGUAUACUCUGUGUGCUUCUUCCACUUUGGCCCUUGGUGGAGUUGGUUAAUGGGAAGCUAUUUGGUUUAAUCAGUAACAUGCUGAGAAUCCAUGGUCAGAAAAGAGUGUGCAUAGCGUAACGCUUCUGUGGGAUCUGUACCUGCACGAAAUACAAAUAACUUCUACUUUUCUUAGUGAGAUAAAUGACGUUUUGGCCCCAUCAAUGCCCUUGGCUCUCUGUCUGGUCAGGUGACUCGUCUAGUGAGAAUUGUGGAAAGGAAGGACCAAGCUCAAGUUGUUGAUCAGAGAAAUUUAUUGUCUACUUAAAUAUCUAUUUCAGCAACUCAAAGAGGAUUGGAGUCUCUGUGGCUUGAGAAUGCUUCUCUGACUCAGGGUCUGGAUGACUAUGCAUCCUCCAGUGUUAAGGCAGUUUCACAAUCUUUUAAGAAUGCUUUGUAAAAAUUGGAUCACUUUCAUCAUCCUAUAGUUAUCUUGAGGGAGAAGAUUUGAUUGGAUCAGGGGCUCAAAGAUAUAGAGAUUGUCUCUCUGCUGGAAUAGCCAUGCCACCCACUUUUUUUUGUAUUGUAUGCUGAGUACUUUUUAAUUGAAUAAUAUAUGUGUAUAUAUUAACUUAUUUGGAGUGAGUGAUUUUUUUUUACCUCCAUGAGGUGUAUUUUUAUGAUCAUGAGUGCAUGGCUCUAUAUCUUGUACGAACUUACAAGGUCUUCCAUCAAAGUUUAUUGGAUGUCAUAGGGGUCGUUUCCGGCCAAGGGUCGAUUCCCCUCCGCCCCAGGUGAAAAACUGAUUCGGGGUAAACGUGUGGCCAAACCACUGUGGCCUCUAGAAAUCCGCCCCAGGUGAAAAACUGAUUCGGGGUAAACGUGUGGCCAAACCACUGUGGCCUCUAGAAUGGUUAGCUGCCAUAGUGGAAUAAAUCGUUAUUUCUUGUGGGGAUUUGAUUACUUUAGUCGUACGAGCACAUCAUCUAUGACAACACUCCUAACAUUAGGUGGGGAUUUGAUUUAUUUAGUCGCAUGAGCAAAACGACUAUGACAACACCCUUGGCUUUCAGUGGGGAAUUGAUUAUUGUAAUUUCACGAACAAAAUGUCUAUGACAACACCAUUGGCUUUCGGUGAGGAAUUGGUUGUUGCAGUCACACGUGCAAAGCGUCUGUGGCAUCAUCCCUAGCUUUCUAAUAUGUGAUUUGUGCUACAUGUGAAUUGAUUAUUAUAGUCACGUGUGCAAAGUGUAUGCAACAACACCCCUGAUUCCUUUAUGAUGGGUCUCGAUCUCGUCGGUCGUACCCCAUAUUUAUUGUUAAUGAGCACAACAACAAAAAAUUCAGGAAUUGGCAUAUUUCAUUCAUGAUUGAAAAUAGCUCUUAUGCAUGAGGAGGGUGAUUAUAAAAGUAUAGUGUUUAGUAUAAAACAAGAAAGAAAAUAUAAUCGGGUGGCCUAGCCUCCACUUAUUUCCUUAUUUUCCUUCUUAUGAUUCAACCACAUCUUGGUGGGCAGCUAUUCAUGUCUAGAGCUGAUCGUCAGGGAUGCCACGUUGAUCUCCAUGGUGAAGCACUUUAUUUGGUCUUGUUGGACCGUGUGGUAAAUUCUUUAAUAUCCUUCGGGACAAGUGUUGAUGAUGGUUAUUUCUCCCUGCGUAUUAUGGUAUUUGAACUUAAGGUGGAUAAGCAGAGCUACAACGCCCAACAUGGUUGCAAAAUGGUUUUCCUAGGAUGCAAUUGUAUACGCUCUUGCACGGGGCUACGAGGAAUUGCAAAGUGAUUGUCCGGAUUUCCUUUCAUUCAACCAUUGAAACCAUCAAUUUUACGUAUUUCUAAGGAUAAGUGGUCGUCCUGUUGAAUGCCUACAAAUUUGAGCCUUCAUACAACCAUAAGCUUCCUCUUUUUAGGAUCGUCUUUUCAAUCAACUAAAAGUACAUUAUGUAACAGGAGGUGCUAUUAUCAAUUAAGAUUUGAGAGACAUCAAAAUUCCUGAUUAUGACGGUAAUUUCCAGGGGAAAGAUUUCAUUAUAAAUGUCGCCCCGCCUUUGGAGUCCCAACAUAGGUCGGUCAGGAGUCUUCAUUGAGGUGCUUUCAUAUUUUUUAAGUAUGGUAAGCAUCUUAGCAGUCUUCCUCUUCAUUGUUAACUUAGAUGGAAGGUUUGCUUGGGGUGUUCACACAUUUUUCCUUCCGAUAUUCAAUCGGAAUGGGUGAUCACGUAGAAGGUCAUUCUUGAAAAUCAAGAACUCUGGGUCUUCUUUGACUCCUUUCACCUCAACAACAACUUGCAUGAAACACUCAAUAUAAGACCAUAAGAUCUCUUUCUUCCCUUGAAUGAUUCCUCUCAAGGUAACAACAAUCACCAACUCUCUCUUUCAAAUACUAAAGUGCACGGAGAACCGCUUAUAGAAAUCAGUCUAUGAAUAAAUGCUCUUGUUCGGUAAAUGGUUGAACCACAACUUGGUCGCACCGACCCGAUUUAACUCAAAAAACUUGCAUUUGAAGGCUUCAUCUAUAUUGAAAUAAUUCAGUUAAUCAUUGGCGAGCUACACGUGCUCGUUCAGGUCUCCCUUUACAUCAUACUCACUUAACUUAGGCGGUUUCUCCGUGGAUUUUGGUAUUUUGCUUUCCAAAAUCUAGAUGCACAAGGGAUGCUUCUGUUAAACCUUCAACAACUUUUUUUCUACCUAAUCUAAGAGAGGAACAUGACUGUCUCGUCUCCCUUGGGACUUUGGGGAGUACUUUGAUGCUUCUUUCCACUCUGAUGAUUCUUAGACUUAAAAUCUACAUCUCUCUUUGUCACAAUCGACUUUGGAUCGACAAUGUAAGUCCUUUUGGAUAUAGCAUGUUGAACGGUUUUCCCUCGCUGAGAUGUGUUAUGGAGGUUUCUUCGAGGCGAAGCAAGCUUUCUCCAAUUGAUUAUAUGUUUUAUUUUCGCACGAUGUUAUAGAUGUUGUUGCACAGCUUAUUAGCGUCUUGUAGUCAAUGGUUUGCUCGCAGGCGUUGGAAUUCGGGUAGGGUUUCAGGUUGCAUUACUGGCGAAGGCAAUUAGAAAAAUUAAUCUACUUGAGAAUUCUGGACUAGAUAUGGAUGCAACAUAAUCUCUGCUUCUGGAUUUGUAAUGUUUUUCUAAGGAGGUGAAGGUAGAGGUGGUUUAUUAACAAUUACUUGAGUUACAGUCAUAUAAGCUGGAACAACUUCUUGCGCAGUGGCGCAUGUCGCAUCCGCGAAAAACAACCGGCGAGACUCAAAUAAAACAAACAAACAGAGUCGCCACUGCGCGUUAUUUAUCCCAAGAUAGGGAAAGGAAACGCUCAGAAAAACCUGGAAAGACACGGUUCACGACCAGAGAAAAGGUAACGGAGAGGUCGGUUACGUGGGGAAGGUAAUAACACCCCCUCACGCACGUCGUUACUCGACGAGUCCACGUUUUAAAAUUAAUAGGUUGCUAAAAACAGAACACAAGUCAUUACACCGGCACGCCAAAAUGACUACACAGGUGGGUGAUGAGGAAUGGCAUCGCAUAAGGCAUCGACACCUUCAGGCCUCGUAUCUCAUCUGGAACGAGAAUCAGAGCGCCGUAGUCGCUACGUACCGCCAAACAAACAGACAAACAAAGGCAAACAUGAGCCCGACUAGCCAAUCUGGGUUGUAUGUCCGGCAUCCGACCCAACUGACCAAAGAUGGCAACUAGGAGCCCGACAACCAUUAAUGGAAUUACGUCAGCAUCGAACCAAAACGCCCAAUCAGAUAACAAAAAACACACGCAAAAAGAAAAAAAAGUGCCUCGGGGUGGUCUCCCGAACCACCUGCCUGACAAUCCGUCUGGAACGGCGAAUCAUGGAGGCGAUUAGUUCCCCUGAAAGGGAAAGUUUCAGCCAGAAACCGCGGGAGACACGACUACCAGAGGAGCUGUACUCGGUCCUUAGUGUUGUCAUUGCAUCGUUUACCACUUAGUUUCAGGUUCUAACUUCCUACCUUGCUAUAAUGCAAACUAAUCCAUCCAGGAAAGUCAAGCAUACAAGCAUACAAACAUACAUCAAUGAGAACAGGCCAUCUCACAGAAUUACCAUAGCACCCACUCUCACCACACAAUCAAGCGCGCUUCAAACAAUGGGUUUGACUGCUCGCAGGCAUCUGCUUAACAUGUGUAUCGGGCGCUCUUAAACCUUGCCAUUACGAGUGCUAAUGGUGAAGCAGAUGAAAAGGUGAAGUGAGGAUAGGACCUCACAGCUUUAUCCCUGACCAGGGAGAGCUUAGACAAGAGAGCGUGGGUCCAGAAUGAAGGGACCCUUCUCACGCCGAAAGACUCUGACUCGAUUGUGCAACAACACGCGAUUUCGGGCGUUGAAUCUCAAUGCCUACAACAUAUGUAAUGGGAGCAAGGAGAAAACUCACAGAAUUAGUGGGGAUAGACUGGCGUAUCCCUAACUUCCACCAAUUGCCUCAUAGAAGGUGUACCUAGGCUUAGCAAAAUGUAUAUCAAUUCACGCAUUUGCUUUAAGGCAGGGACUUCGAAAUUGCCCCGGGCCCAAAAAUAACAGGCCGGUUCCCAGGGAUACAUGAAGUUGAGAGAGUACCUCAAUGCAAAAUGCUAGCAGCAAAGCCAAAGCAAGCAAGCUUACUUAAGAGAACUGAGCAACUAAAGUGGUACCUGUACAAGCUAACCGGUAGUAACUCGACAACCAAAUCAGAAAAACAACAUAAUGUUAAUCAGUCUAGGACUUACAGAGCAAGGCACAAAAGGCAAGUAUGAGCUCCAAAGACCCAGCUUCACAACCUACAAAACAUGGUUAUGUAGUGUACAAUUCAAGAAAUCAAUUUCAAUCAACUGGAUCAUUCUCUGAACCUUGUGCUAUUCAUCGCUUGAAAAAUCAAGCAAAUAUAGCACCAGCAUAGGCCAACGGUCCUGUUGCGCAAAAAGCAAUUGAAUAAUUCCUAUUAGAGCGCAGGUGUGAUUCAAGCAAACUCAAAUUUGUGUCAAACAAAGACCAACACAAUUUAGUCCAACAAUGCCAUUCAUUCAUAUUUAUUCUUGUCAUAACCAAAAAUUUCAAUCUGAUGCUCCAAUGUGAACAAAAGAAAUCAAUGACUAGCAAUGCUUGCAUCAUUCCAUAUCAAAAACAAUUCCAAAAUCCCUCAAUAAUUACACCUGAACAUGGCCUAACUCAGUGAUAGCACACCAAAUUCAGACUAGGGGAUGGAACCAUAUCAUCGAAAUCAACAAAAACCGGACACAAAAUUAAUGCUUCUCUAACCACAAUAUCAACACAUGCAUAUUCAAAUGUAGUAAGUCAAUGAAACAAAAGAAUGAGGGAUGGCGACCAAACAGGGAUCGUCACAUCAUGUGGUUACUACUCUUGACAAUUUCUGUUAUCAUACAAAACACAUG